UUCCCACGGUGAUCGAUAGCUCAUUACAGUCAUUGACUGCGGCUCAUCAGCACCUGUUAAGGUCUGGAGAGACAGAAAAGGUGCAUGUGCGUCUGGUGGAGUGUGUGUUGUGAUGCAAGCCCACCGAUAAGUAUAAAGAUCGGACUCGAAUGAGUCAGGGGUGAAGUUUGAUGUUUGAAAGGGAACAUUCUGAUUCACAUCCAUUGUUGAGGGUGUGUAGUUUGUCGCUGCUUUAUGGUCUGUGGUCUUGGGGAACAUCUUAUUAUGCAACUCACGUGGGUACCAUGGUUUGUUGCUAUGGUGAUUGCCAAGGGAGCCCGAGUAUUAUAGGUGUUUAUCCUAGACAGGAGCAAGGCUACUCACUGUCUAUCAGGACACGGUUCAAUUUAACACAACGUUUGGACCACACGUUAAGAUCAACACAGUCGCAGAGGGACAAAGGGAGAACACAGAAUGCGACACGAACAAGUGUGGAUUUGAUUUAGCAGAUUAUUCAGUAUUCAUAUUCCUGACAGAAAGACCUUGUUCAAACACUCAGCUGUUGGUUUAAUGCGUCACUGCGGGGUUUGUUUUUGGAGAGGACAGGCUGAGCCGAAAGAAGCAAACAGAGAAAAAGAGGGGAGCCUUUGAGAGACAACAGACCAUGGUUAAAGGCAGGGAGAAAUGUGUAAGAAAAAAGGAAAAAAAAAAAUAUAUAAAAGAGACUAUAGCUAGACCUCAAGAAAUCCCCCAGGAAUUGGUUCACAGGAUGUGGUCUAAGAAAAGGGGAAAAUUGGCAUAAGAGCGUGAGGUUUUAAGUAAAAAGGGGAUAUAAAUAGGGUGAAUACAAUGGAGGACUGAAUAGAGAACACGUCUCUCAGUCCAUGCAUAAAUUACACACAUCAUUUACAUAUUCAUUAUGUUUUGUGUUCUAAUGAGAGUAUUUGCUUAAUAGCUCCACCACCACUGGCAGCUUUUGUUUGACAAGAGAGAAUUUAAAGAUAAGAAAAAAAAGAAAAAACAAAGGAGCAAGGGUCAUCUCAGCUGUGUUGGCGAGGUCAAUGGUAUACAAUCAAUUUUACUUAUAAUCGUAUCAAUCAUAUUGCUGGAUUGUGCUUGCGCGAACAAGCACAACCUUUUGAGUGUGAAUUGAAGCACACAUAAUGGGGGUUGGUAAAAGUUAAUUAAAACAACAUAGGCGUUCUCAAAACUCUGGAUUUCCUUCGUCCCUCUCCCGUCUCGGCGGAAUAAGUAACUGCUGCUGUAAUUACCUACAGGGCAGUCACAGCGGGGAUUCCUUCAGGUGUCAAAGAAGUGACAAAACAGAGACCGGCGAUUUGACGUGUGCCUUUAAGAGAUGAAAACUUUUCUGUGCGUCAUUUAAAGUAAUGUUUGGAAUAUAGGCAAAUGCAGUGCAACGUUAAAACUGAGGGGGUAAACGAUUCCGAAAGUGAAUGAACGAAAUAAGGGGAAGAGAGAGGGAUGGAAAUAUAGAGACAGGGGGAAGGGCAACAGAGGGAUGAGCUACAAAUGAGAACGAUGGCGGUGGCAGGUUGGCACAGUGCCAUCCAGUCAGGACUUGAGCGGGGGCGGGCAUGGGCAUGGGCGAAGGGGCGACGAGAAUAAGACUGAAAGAGGAAGGGAAACAGACCUCCAUACUGAUACUAUGGUGCCACCCUGGCACAGGCGUGAGGAGACUGGGCAGAGAAAAGGAGGAUAUGACAAAUUUCAUAGGAUAGCGGAGGAUAGAAGUAAGUGAGAUGCCAGCAGACACAGGAUGACUCAGAUGUAUAUGGAUGAAGGAAGAGUAGAGGAAUGAGAAAAAUGGAUCUAAAACUGUAAGGCGUAACUCCACGAUGAGCAUCGGCCAUACAAAGAAGAAAUGGCGCCGGAAAAGCCUACACAUUUUCCGACUUUUCUUUCUUUCUGUGCCACCCGCGGCGUGCCAUCCAGCGGGCAGCUUGCCAGUUUGUACUCGUGGCAUACCCGAAGCUAUCAAUGCGAAAACCGUCAAAGACAAGGGGACUCACCUUUGAGGAUUUGCUAUCAAUUACCGUUUGUUUGCUUGGACAAAGCCAAGAAGAGGUGCCCAGGCAACGGUUGCCAGCGAUUCUGUGAUGGCAUCUUUUCAGGGGCGGCAAGGGCAAAGGGAGGAAGAUGGCAUUCUGCCAAGGCAACAUAAUACACACAUUUGUAAACAGAAACCUCCAUACGGUGAGCAGAACAUUUCGGAUGCCGCAAAUGUUUUCGGCGAUGGCAUCCCCUCAAGGGAGAGGCAGAACAGUGAUGGCACCAUGCCAAACGCAAACUGCGAGGCACUUAACAGGCAAAAGCUGCACAAAAACACCGUAAAUGCAGACAACAAAUUGUAGCAAAAGGUUACAACUGGAGCCACCAGUGCCGCUGUGGCAGCAGUGUGGGACUAUUUCCUCGAUGCCAACUCUGCUCAGUGCCAACUGCUGCACUGAAAGGAUGCCGCUGCCCAUUGCAAAGAACUGAGACGAGGGAUUGUACCAUUCCACUAUGGAGAGGAAGAGUAUGCGGAAGAUGAGGAAUAAUGAGCAAAAUGAAAAAAAGGAUGCCGAAGAAGAAAAAAUGGGGAAUUUUGUGCUUAACGAAGAACAGAGGGAGUGGGUGGACAAGGAUGAUGAAGAGCCUCUUUCCUACACUUGCACACCUGGGAUGUUCUUAAAGGGAUAUCCCCUCAGAAUGCAGAGUGUGUUAAAGGGAGGGAUGUGUUGGCAUCAUCUCCAGGGUGUCAAGCUGUGUUUCACUAUUGCCAGUCAGGGAGGGUGCUGCCGUCGUCAGGGGCGGGCAACUGUCUGGGCAUCUCAUCUGUGGCUAAUUAACAGCCACACACUAAUUCUAACAGCCGAUCAUAAUUAGCGAUUUAAUCGCUCGUCAACGCUUUUCUCCCCCCCUAAAUCGUGCCUCCUAUUUGGACACGUGCGGAUAAGCUAAGGAACGCUGGAUCCCCCCCGCCCCUCCUCCUCGUCCUUCUUUCCUUCAUCCUUGGCUCCAGACUCCAGUGGGAUCUUAAUUAAGCCUGGGCUUCAUUAUGCAAAUGGAGUACAAUAAACGACAGCAGAGGUGGAGCUGGAUACAGACUAAAACGGAACGGUGGGAGGGGAGCGCUGGAAGUGGAAAAUGAAGAUGAGAUGUGGAAGUGUGCAGCUAUUACAUGCGGGGUGAGAACCAACAGUUCGCACUUUGAUGCUCCAUCUCCGCCGCUACUGGGAAAACUUCUCUGAAAUAACACUGGAUAUGCAGAAUGUCGUCUCUCACAAAGAAAAUUCAUAAGGGAAUGGUGACAAUGAACCCCUUAAUAUCACCAGUUGGCUGUUGUCGUGGAUACGAAGAAAGAUGGCAGAGAUAGGGAGAGAGAAAAGAGGGGGACAGAAACACUGACAGUGGCAGCAGCAUGGCAGCUAAUGUCAUCUCAGUUUAAUCAUCGCAUGGGAUCAUGGGGUUCAUGAAAAUUCAUUUGCAUAUCAUUAAAUGGAGAGAGGUUAUUUGGCGCGGGCAGCCAAAAUGGGAUUGGAUGAGGGGAGGGGAAAAAAAGGAAAAUGGAGGGACUCGUUAUUAAACAGCAAUGUUUUAUAGUCCGCCAGCCAAUUCAUUUAAUUUGGGCGUAAUUAAAAUGUGUCAGACUCAAUCAAUCAUUCCAACAGGGAUACUAUCAAUGUCUUAGUCUGAAAAAAAGACUAAUCAGUGGAUAUGCGGUUUGACAUUUUCCAAUAACAGUCUGAGCAGUCGACUUUGAGCCUGACAGAACAACUCUUUUUUUUUUUCCAUGGUAUUCCGUAGGAGUAGAUCAAAACAUCCAGUGUAACUUCUGUGUUUUGUGUCAAGACAUUUCUGACAGGUGGUGAUGCCACCCUGUGUUCGUCAGUAAGAGGGUAGCCCACUCUGUCUUCUUGACCUUAGCAGUAAGCUGUCUGUGGUGUGUAUGUGUGUGCAUGCCUGUGUGCAUUUCACAUUUGCAUAAGUGAUGUAAUUAGACCGCCUUUUCACAUGCAGAUCAGUUUGACAACAUGGCAAUCAUUGUAACACACAUGCAGCCGUACACACACAUAUACACAGACGUACACACAACACACGCUUACUGCCGUGACCACCCCCAUAUCAUGGGGAGUCUGUUGUCUGUGAGCAGAGAGUGUAAAGAUUAACAUAAUCCAGCUAAUAAGUGUGAGUAAUAUUCACACAGUGACGCGUGGCAAAGACACUGUCCUGCUGAUGCGUAUUUGUAUCUCAUUAUAGAUGUAAAGCACUGUGGACGCCAGUAGGGUAGGAGGGUGGAGGGCAUUGUGAAGAGGGGAUGGUGAGGGGUCACAAAGUGUGGGCCCAAAUAAAGAGGCACCCAAGAAUAACAAUAAACGGUAGUAUUUUCCCCAAGUUAUCAUAUCCACCCUUUGUGAGAGCUACCGGAAUAAUACAAAGACAGAUUACACAGGGUGCCUCAUAACUGGGAUGCUGAAGAUUUGUAAAGGAACUCUUUCUAAUGUCUGCACAAAAUCGGAGAGACAAUUCCGCUGCCUUUUCUCCUUGUUUACAGUGCUAAAUAGGCGCAGAGAGUCCGUUUUUUUUGACGCAGAAUGUAGGAAUUAUAAAUAGAGUGUAUUUUCGCUUGCAGGCUAGCUCUGCCACAUGAUUGAUUAGGAUGGUGUGACGACCAUUAAAAAGUCAUUUAAAAGAUGGAUAGGGACCACAUUUCCAAAUAAAAACCACUUUAUACCUGAUGAAGUGCUGAACAAACUCUCCUUCAAAGACAUUUACUGAUUACUCUCAGGGUGUGAGUGAGUGUAAUGUGGGAAGCACCCAUGAACUGUGUGGAGCUCAGCAUGGAAGUACCACUGUAGAAGGCUCCAAAGCAGCUUGUGGUGCAGCUCAGAUUUUCAAAACAAAAAUGUGUUGUUGUUUUUUUACAUUAAAAGAAGCAGUCUGCUAAUAAUUUGGCUGCAGGCAUAUUCUCUGCGAGACAAAUACAUGUGACAAACAGGGACAUGCACGCACGCAAUGAUUGAAAUAUAUCUGAUAGCACGGCGUGGCUUCAGCUGAAGCCUUAUCCUAAGAAGCAGAGGUGUGUCUACAUGUGCGAAUAUAUUUCAGCUCUGUCUCUUUAACUCAUGGCUCCACCACAGCACUAUGCUUUGGGAUUCAUGCAUAAACAUGAGCUGGCCUUUCAGCUCUCUCCUCACAUAACCAAUCUAAAUCUAAAUGAGCCCCCACUACAGAUACACCAGCAGGCAAUGACAUUACACCCCCUCCCCAGCCCAAGCCCAACCCCCUACUCUACCCUACUACCCCCAGCGACACAUAUACACCAGCAGGCAAUAAUUUCACGCCAUCCCUCAAAGCCCCCCCUCCCGUCUCUACCUACUCUGCACACACACACACACACUCGUACCCCCUUUUUUUUGCCGCAUCCCCACCAGCUGCACAGUACUCAUUUGAUUAAGAGGGGGAGGACAGGGAGAAGGAGAAAUGGUGGGGGAUCACUUUAUCAGGAUGACUUUCUAAGAUGGCUAUCAUCUGCUACGAAGCCAUCUCAAGCCCUCUUCUCUGUUCACUUUGCUAUUGUUUUUCCUGUGUGUCUCCUCCAUGCAUCCCCAAUCACAGCAAUUUCACGGUUGCAUUUUGCGUUGUCGCAUUUCCGCGCGAGGGUUAAACGAACGGCUUGCCGGUAGACGACAAGAAGCGAGUGCUUGACUCGUAUACAACUCCGAACAAGCAGCACAUCCUCACCGUCGUUUAAGUUUUUUCUUCUCUGGCAAGCUUUCUCAUCAACCACUGGAAAGUUUCACAUAAGCGAGAACAAAAUAAUAAAAAGCUUUCCUACCAA